AAAUCUCUUGAAAUUUCUGAAAGCUGAUGAGAGUUGGAGGUGCUUUAAGAAACCUGAGUUCGGAGAAGACAGGGAAGAGCCGGAACCCUAGAUCUGAACACCGUGAGUUAUCUUCAUGAUGGGGAUGCUUUUGUUAGAGAGGAGAAGAGAACGAUUGCUGGUGCAAUUCAAUACAAUUGAUUACCUUAGCGAUGAAGUGAAGUAACGUUGAAGAUGAGGUCGAUUAGGUUUCUUAGAGAGAGACGAUUUGGCUGAAACCCUUAGAUGCCAUUGAAUUUUAUUAGUUUAUUUAAAGGAAAGUGC
rnacentral:lncRNA from 1 species